ACGGGAGGCAGCAGUGGGGAAUAUUGCACAAUGGGGGAAACCCUGAUGCAGCGAUGCCGCGUGGAGGAAGAAGGUUUUCGGAUUGUAAACUCCUGUCUUAAAGGACGAUAAUGACGGUACUUUAGGAGGAGGCUCCGGCUAACUACGUGCCAGCAGCCGCGGUAAUACGUAGGGAGCGAGCGUUGUCCGGAUUUACUGGGUGUAAAGGGCGUGUAGUCGGGUCGGCAAGUCAGAUGUGAAAUCCAUGGGCUUAACUCAUGAACUGCAUUUGAAACUGUUGAUCUUGAGUAUCGGAGAGGCAAUCGGAAUUCCUAGUGUAGCGGUGAAAUGCGUAGAUAUUAGGAGGAACACCAGUGGCGAAGGCGGAUUGCUGGACGACAACUGACGGUGAGGCGCGAAAGCGUGGGGAGCAAACAGGAUUAGAUACCCUGGUA
rnacentral:rRNA from 1 species